CCCCCUGCAUACGUGUGCCUUUUUAGGCUUUACUUUCACAAUGCUUUUAUUAUUUCUGUGUGGAUACUCAAAAAGUCACAUCCCCACCACGCGAAGGCAGGGCUGCAGGGGCGAGGAAACAGUUUCUUAGUUUUCUCCACCUGCCAGCGCAGACCUGCAUAUAUUAUUUAUUAUUCAUCCCACCUCGUUGUGGUUUUUGAAGCGAAUCCUUUGCAUUCCAAAUUUAAUCCUUUGUUUAUUUUCAGCUAGAUAACUUGAAUUUGUGCUGUGUCAAUAAUGAUGCAAAGACUCUCCAAGCUGCAUUUUAUUGCUGGACUACAACUAUUGGUUUCCUGCCCGCUUUAUUGAGUUUAUCUCGAGCAUCUAUCUAUUUGGACAAUACUCUGUUUAUUUGAUUUUUACCCCAAGCAUCUUACAACAGUAGUGCAGAAAGUUGAAGGAAAGGCAAACCUCGAUGUGCUAUACAAAAUCUCGCAUCAAGAUAAUUAAAAAAUAAGAAGUAAAAAUUAAAAAUUAAAAAUCCACGAAGAAAUAACCCAAUCCAUUAUCAAAAGUUUCCACACGAAAAUCGAGACCCGUCGAAAUCUCACUCGCACUGCGAUCCUUCUGAUUGGACGAUAUGAACAGUAACGCAAGUUUUCAAUUCAUGCGACUCAGAAGCCCACAGCCCUCACAAGAAGCAAGGUUUUUCCAGCCAGACAGCAUUGACGGCGGUUCGGAAG
rnacentral:sRNA from 1 species